GAAGAAUCUCCUUUCGUCGUGUGUAUACGGAGGUCAAUGGUUCUUGCAUGACGCCAUGGCGCUCAGAUCCUCUGCCCUGCUCUGAGAGCGUUGUGCGGGGUGAGGCCAUGGCUAAGAAGUUCGCAGUUUCCGGUGACAGAUAAAGGAAAAAACCUCGGGAGAAAGGCCUUGAUUUUCAAAAACUUUCUCGGGUGUUCGAGGGCCCUGGCGCGGGCU
rnacentral:misc_RNA from 1 species